GGACGAACGCUGGCGGCGUGCUUAACACAUGCAAGUCGAACGGAAAGGCCUUGCUUUUGUGGGGUGCUCGAGUGGCGAACGGGUGAGUAACACGUGAGUAACCUGCCCUUGACUUUGGGAUAACUUCAGGAAACUGGGGCUAAUACCGGAUAGGAGCUCCUGCUGCAUGGUGGGGGUUGGAAAGUUUCGGCGGUUGGGGAUGGACUCGCGGCUUAUCAGCUUGUUGGUGGGGUAGUGGCUUACCAAGGCUUUGACGGGUAGCCGGCCUGAGAGGGUGACCGGCCACAUUGGGACUGAGAUACGGCCCAGACUCCUACGGGAGGCAGCAGUGGGGAAUAUUGCACAAUGGGCGGAAGCCUGAUGCAGCAACGCCGCGUGCGGGAUGACGGCCUUCGGGUUGUAAACCGCUUUCGCCUGUGACGAAGCGUGAGUGACGGUAAUGGGUAAAGAAGCACCGGCUAACUACGUG
rnacentral:rRNA from 1 species